GCUAGCUGAUUGGCUCCUCUUCAGUGAUGCUCAUUGGGCUGUUUCCCCGCCCUUUCAGACCACGGAGCUGCUCAUUGGGGGACUCUUUUGGCUCUGCCCACGUAACCCAGCCAAUCGGCCUCAAGAGCAGGAGGAGUGGGGGGGUUGAGAGGCUUGUGGGAAGCUGGUGGUGGCAGUUGGGCUCUGAGGGAAUUCCUGAAGAGCUCGUGUGUUGUGGCGUGUGUGUGUGUGUGUGUUCUAAAAAUAAAGUUCGUUUCUGCUUGAUAAGUGGCUCGUGAAUUGUGCCCAGCCAGACUGUGGCAUUUGGUGGCCCGCACGGGGAACGACUGAGGGCAAGUGAUAAGGUAAACUGCUCGCCCCUGAGGGCAGGGCGAGAGGAUGGGUAGCCAUUUUAAGAUUCUUCUUUUGUUUUGUUUCACUUUUGUUUUAAGUUGCCUGUCCCUGGAGAUGUGUAAGAUGGAAGAAAAACCACGCACAUCUGAGGAAAAACUAUUUACGUCUGAGGAACAGAUAGGGAGAAAGGACGGAUGGACAUUUCAGGAGGAUAGAAAGGCUAUUAUAAUGAUUUUUUGUUUUUCCACUUUUGUUUCAUUCUGUUUCAGUUUUGUUUGGCGUCGUCUUGUUGGGUUGUAUUAUAGUAGAAAUAUGGGAUCAGAAAUUAGUAAAAAACAAACCAAAAGAGUGUUAAGUAAAUUGUUAGAGGAAGGAGGCAUCCCAGUAAAAUCAAGAGCAGUCAGGGCAUACGUUGAUACAAUACAAAAAUGUAGCCCAUGGCUUUUUAAGGAGGAGUUGUUAAAUAUAUCACAAUGGAACCAUCAUGGUGAAGAUUUAAAAAGAAUAGAAAAGAAAAGCCCAGGGACUCUGCCAGUUGGCACAUUGCCAUUGUGGACGUUNAUAUAGUGAAAUAUUUGUAGUUCAGGAUUUUGAUUUCUAAGUGGCUGGAUUACUUUGUUAACAUAAAUUUGACACAUAGUUGGGCUGUUAGCCAUCCCUUGAGGGAGUACUUUCCAUUCAUAUCUCUGAUCAGGACCUUCAUGAUUCAGUGCAGGGAUAGUAAAUGCAAAACGUGGACUAUCCUCAGGAUGAAUUGGAAUUGAAAAAAAAACAAUCUUUAAUAUCUAUAACUAAAACAUACCAGGUUUUUGGCAAAGCAGACAACUGAGGAAUCCCUGAUUGAGCAGGUCCCAUAAUAACCAUCUCAUUAUUAAUGGCUCUUAAAUCUUGCAAUAAUCUCCAUUUACCAGAUUUCUUUUUGAUGACAAAAAUGGGAGUAUUAUGGGGAGAUACAGAAGGUUGUAUAUGUCCUUCUGCUAAUUGUUGUUUGACCAGGUCAUGGGCUGCUUGUAUCUUUUCUUUAGUCAGGGGCCACUGAGGAACCCAUACUGGUCUUUCUGAUUUCCAAGUAAUUUUUAUUGUCUCAGUGGCCCUUUCUGAAAAUCCAACCCAUGUCUGUCUGUUCCUUGAUCUAUUUGUAUUGGUGCUGCUAUACCUUGUUCUUGUUUUUCUAAUCUUUUUCCUUUCCUAAAACCUUGUCUAGUCAUAAUAGUGGGUGCAUUUUGGUUGAUGUUAUUUGUUAAUGUCAAACCUAAUUGAUCUAGGACAUCUCGUCCCCAUAAAUUUACGGGAAGAUGAUCCAAUACAUAUGGCUGUAUAGUUCCUUCACAUCCUUCAGGAUCCUUCCAAUCUAAUACCAUUGCACUUCUAUGGGGAUUAGUCGCCACUCCUAGGCCUCGAAGCGUUUGAGUGGCUUGUUGUAAUGGCCAAUGUUUUGGCCAUUCUUGACGAGAGAUGAUGCUAAGGUCUGCACCUGUAUCCAGUAGCCCAUUAAAUUCAUGUCCUUGAAUAUUUAGUUUUAGCAUGGGGCGAGAAUCUAAAUUUAAAGAAAGCAUAGCCCAAUCUACACCUGUGGAGCCUAAUCCCUUGGAACCUCUUUCUACAGUACGACUGGAAAAUUUAUCAUGUAGGCUGGGUAUUAUUAGUAACUGUGCUAUUCUAUCUCCUGGUGAAAUUACUGAUAUACCCUUUGGAGAACUGGCUAUAAUUUUUAUUUCACCUUCAUAAUCGGGAUCAAUUACCCCAGGACUUAUCAUAAGUCCUUUUAGAGUAGAAGAACUAUGUCCCAAUAAUAAGCCUACUGUUCCUUUGGGAAGAGGUCCUUUUACCCCUGUGGGAAUGAUUUGAACUCCCAUCUCUGGAGUUAGUACUGUUCUGGCAGAGGUGCAGAUGUCCAAUCCUGUGCUUCCUCUGGUUUGUCUAGUGAGGGAUCUAAUGGACAAUGUGUCCUGGGCACUACCCUGAUGGGGUUGCUGGGUUCUUCCAGUGCCCUGUAUAUUUGUGGUCUUGGGCCCCGGAGCAUUGGGCCCCCCUGUCCAUUUUUUGGCAAUGGAGCCUGAUGCCUUUCUCCACGAUAUCGUGGAUAGACACCUGGUCCUUGUUCAUUUUUUGAUAAUGGAGUACCCUCUAUGGUGGUUUGAGAAUGGCAUUCAUUAGCCCAAUGUCUCCCUCUGCGGCAUCGUGGGCAAAUACCCGGUAUUCUCCUCCUUUGAUACCUAGUUAUGUUAAACCCUCCUCCUAUGAGUCAAUUCCUUUUAAAAUGUCCUGUUUGUUCACAAUUGUAGCAUGUUUUUGGCCUGGCAUCUAAAACCUCCAAUUGGCCUCAAGAGCAGGAGGAGUGGGGGGGGUUGAGAGGCUUGUGGGAAGUUGGUGGUGGCAGUUGG
rnacentral:lncRNA from 1 species